AUGUGGCUUUGUGCCUCCAAAUUUCUCCUCUUUCUGCACCUCCAACCUUUCUCUUCUUUCUGUAACUCCAAACUUUCUCCUCUUUCUGUAACCCCAAAUUUCUCCUCUUUUUGUACCUCCAAAUUUAUUCUCUUUCUGUACCUCCAAAUUUAUCCUGUUUCUGUACCUCCAACCUUGUUUUUCUUUUUGCACCUCCAAACUUUCUCCUCUUUUUGUACCUCCAAAUUUAUCCUCUUUCUGCACCCCCAAACUUUCUCUUCUUUCUGCACCUCCAAACUUUCUCCUCUUUCUGCACCCCUCAAACUUUCUCCUCUUUUUGUACCUCCAAAUUUAUCCUCUUUCUGCACCCCCAAACUUUCUCUUCUUUCUGCACCUCCAAACUUUCUCUUCUUUUUACACCUCCAAACUUUCUCCUCCUUUUGUACCUCCAAACUUUCUCCUCUUUCUGUAACCUCAAACUUUCUCCUCUUUUUGUACCUCCAAAUUUAUCCUCUUUCUGCACCCCCAAACUUUCUCUUCUUUCUGCACCUCCAAACUUUCUCCUCUUUCUGCACCCCAAACUUCCUCCUCUUUUUGUACCUCCAAAUUUCUCCUCUUUCUGCACCUCCAAACUUCCUCUUUUCAUACCCUACUCCCCAAGGCUCACCCUGCACCACAUCUAUAGCUUUGGAGACAAGACUUAGGGGCUGUUUUACCGAGGAGUUCAGCUCUUUUUUUGUCCCUUUUGUACAUUUUUACUGGUGCUGUGUCAGAUGUUUCCAGGUUUGUGCACCGAGGUGAUGCUCCUCUGGUGGUGGGUGAUGCUAAACUGCCUGAGCCCAGCUGGGAUUUGGCUGCUGAGCCUGUUCUACCCAAUCCUUUUGGGGAAAAAAAAAAAAAAAAAACCAACACAAUUUCCCCAGGCCUGAACUUUCCCAGCAUAUCCUGUUUCCAUUUCAACCCGUUAGAGCCAGAGGCAGGAUUUUUUUCUGGGGAGGCUGAGGGCAAUUAGGAAAUUAUCCUUCUCCCCCCCUCCCCUGCCCUGAAAUCCAGCAGGAUGAAGCCAAAUAUUUGCUUUCAGCUGGGUGGAUUUUGGAGCUGGCUCCACAUGAGAGCACUGGGGUGGAGGCUUGAAUUUUGGCCGUUUUGGGUGAUUGUUUUUGAAGCAGGACCUCCAAGCUGGCUGCUUGGAGAUUGCAAAGCCAUGCCCUGUCCCAGCUGGCAUCUGCCCUGUUGUUGAUGGAAAACAGCCUGCCCGUGGGUUUUUGGGGUGGGAUGCACCCUCUCCAUCUCUGUACCCACUCAAUAGAAGGCUGCAGCACUGUUGGUAGCUUUGUAAUCCCAUUUUUUUUUUUUUUCCUGCUGUGCUGCAGGCUCUGAGCAGUGUGUGUGGCUCUGAAAUUGGUCUUGGGAGGUGCCCAGGCCUGCUGGGCACCCUGGGCAGAGCAGCAGAGCCAGUGGUCCAAAAGCAGCUCCUCAAUUCAAUGCUGAAAUCAGAUCCUGAAGCUUAAAUUUUUUAUUUUUUUUUUCUUUUACAUCUGCUCCUUGUAAAUGAUUUAUAACCCCUCAAAAUUUUGUAUCUGGAAGUAAAGUGGAUGUGUCUCUUAAAAGUAUGCCUGUCCUUUCAAAAUGUGAAUUUCUGAUUGUUGGAAUAAAAAAAAAAAAACCCCCCCCCCCCCCCCCCCCCCCCCCCCCCCCCCCCCCCCCCAAAAAAAAAAAAAAGAAGAAGAAAAAGAAAAAGAAAGAAACCUACCCCAUAUUAGCACAUUUUUGUAAUUAAUGUUUUAUGAAUGUUGUUUAAAAGAUUUGUGUAGAAUAAAUCAGUUAAAAAAAACCAAAAGGGAUUUGUUGCUGUGUUUUGCCAGGUCUCUCCUCAUGGUUCUUAGCAGCUUUCCCAGAUGCUGCCAACUCUCCAGAGGGGCUGGAGAGGCAAGAAAAUUCUUUUUAUGAAGUGUUUGAUGCACCUUGAGGAAAGGCAGAGCUCCUGGAACCUGAUGGGAGAGAUGUUCCACGAGCUGGUGACAGCUGCAAGUGCUGAAAGUCCUUGUCCCACUUAUUUAGAAGUAAAAAUGAUUUGAAAAUCCACCCCUGAGAGCAGCUGGGUGCCAGAGGUGCUGAGGAUGAGCCUGGAGCCUCCUGGAUGUUCUCCAUUCCCCUGGGAGCAGUUUUGGGUCUGGAUUUCAGCACCCAGCAUCUCCAGGGGCUGCAGCACCUUCCCCCCAUGGGGCUCUCGCACAGCCACAGCACCAGGGAUGUUUUACAGCAGCAUUAAGAUUCUUUUUUUUCCAUUUGGCAGUGGUUGAGGGGCAAGAUGAGGCCUUCCAGGUACCUCCUGGUCACAGGAGAACUAAUCAUUUUUGUCAAUAAGAGAAGUCAAGGGAAGGUUGGGAAAGAUCAGGGUCAUGAGUGAGGUUGCAGAGGCUGUGAGCCACUGAAAACACAGCUUUUAUCCAGGCUUUUCUAUUAAUGAUUUGUUUAUAUGAGGUGCUUUAAUUGCCAUUAGAUGAAAGCUGACACGUGCAUUAAUUUUGUAUAACUCUCUUUCUUUUUUUUUUUUCUUUUUUUUUUUUUUUUUUUUUUUUUCUUUUCCCCCCCCCCCUUUUUUUUUUUCUUUUUUUUUUUUUUAAUGUGCACCUCAACCCUUUUUCAAGUUGGUGAUAUUUACUGCAAAUAGUGUUAAAAAAAAAUAAAUCAGGAGAUAAGAGAUGGUAAACAGAGAUGAAAAGGGAAUGAGAGCACAGCAGUGAGCUCCUCCAGAGGAGUUUGUGCUGUGCCAACAGGGACAGAGCAAGGGGAGGGAAUGAGAGAGGGAAGCACUUACCAGAAAAAGUGGCAAUUUUGGCUUGAUAGCAAAAUUAUCUUCAUGGGAUGGUUGGAAAGUUGUGGGGGAAUGGGGAGGGUGCUGGAGGAAAAAGUGGGCUGUGCAUCCAUGGGGACACCAAGAGAGGGGACAAGGGGACAGCCAGGGGAUGGAGGGGACACCCAGAGAGGGAUGGAGGGGAAAAGAAGAGAGGGGAUGGAGGGAACAUCUAGGGGUGGAGGGGACAGCCAGGGGAUGGAGGGGACACCAAGGAAGGGGAUGGAGGGGACACUCAGGGGAUGGAGGGGACAGCCAGGGGAUGGAAAGGAUAACCAGGGGAUGAGGGGACACCCAGAGGGGGAUGGAGGGGACUCCAAAAGAGGGGAUGGAGGGGACACCCAGAGAGGGUCAGGGGAUGGAGGGGACACCCAGAGGGGGGAUGGAGGGGACACCAAGGAAGGAGAUGGAGGGGACACCCAGGCAUUGGAGGGGACACCAAGAUAGGGGAUGGAGGGAACAAGAAGAGAGGGAUGGAGGGGACAUCCAGGGGAUGGAAAGGAUACCCAGGGGAUGGAGGGGACACCAGAGAGGGAUGGAGGGGACACUCAGCCCCCCCCCCCCCCCCCCCCCCCCCCC
rnacentral:lncRNA from 1 species